GCCUGCGUAGCUCAGUCGGUUGAGUGUCCGACUGUGGCUCAGGUCAUGAUCUCACUGUUCAUGGGUUCGAGCCCCGCCUCGGGCU
rnacentral:tRNA from 1 species